rnacentral:lncRNA from 10 species
ACACAUUUGCAGCACAUGCCAAAAAAUGACUAACAUAUUUUCAGAUGCUUUAGUCCAUUCUUCACUUCUACUUAAGAGAAAGACGGAGAGGAAAUAGGAAUUGCACUGUCAUCCUCAGUACUGUCAGAGUGAGUAAACAUCUCUUUGAAAACAAUGGGCUACCUGGUGGAGGGAGAUACAUUUCCUAGCAGAAAAACUCAAGUUUGGGGUGAUUAGCCCGAAGGGGACUGAUAUUUCACUCAUCACUCCACCUCACCCUCUAGCUGAAUGAUCGUGGAACUGAAGAAACACCUAGACACUUCCAUAGCUGCUGUGGGAGUAGACAUGGUGAGAGAAUUCUGGGCAAAAUUAAUCCGCAUCCUCUGGCACAUGGA